CCUACGGGUGGCAGCAGUGAGGAAUAUUGGUCAAUGGGCGCGAGCCUGAACCAGCCAAGCCGCGUGAGGGAAGACGGUCCUAUGGAUUGUAAACCUCUUUUGUCGGGGAGCAAAAGACGCCACGCGUGGCGUUCCGAGAGUACCCGAAGAAACAGCAUCGGCUAACUCCGUUCCAGCAGCAGCGUUAAUACGGAGGAUGCGAGCUGUAUCCGGAGUUAUUGGGUUUAAAGGGUGCGCAGGCGGAAGAUCAAGUCAGCGGUAAAAUUGAGAGGCUCAACCUCUUCGAGCCGUUGAAACUGGUUUUCGUGAGUGAGUGAGAGGUAUGCGGAAUGCGUGGUGUAGCGGUGAAAGGCAUAGAUAGCACGCAGAACUCCGAUUGCGAAGGCAGCAUACCGGCGCUCAACUGACGCUGAUGCACGAAAGUGUGGGUAUCGAACAGGAUUAGAUACCCCUGUAGUC
rnacentral:rRNA from 1 species